CCCUUAGUGCGAGGUGUAAGUGGUGUUUCGUUACCAUCAUCUGCCCCUGGCAUGGUUCAAAGACAAAGACAACAAAAAGGCAAGUGAAGAAAUAAAAGCCCUACAACUACUAGGAUGUAGCUACAGCAAGUCGCUCACACUCAACCUGUAACACAAGUUCUUACCAAUNNNNNNNNNNNNNNNNNNNNNNNNNNNNNNNNNNNNNNNNNNNNNNNNNNNNNNNNNNNNNNNNNNNNNNNNNNNNNNNNNNNNNNNNNNNNNNNNNNNNAGCCCUAGCAACAUCAGUUUUGCGAUAAUAGUUUCAGGGGGAGCAUAGGAUGCAACACAAUUUUGCGAUCAUGGUAUAGAAAAGAAUACUGAUUUGAUCUACCAUGAUGCAUAGAAUCUCUAUCAAAUUGCCAAGGUCUACCUAGCAGAAUGUUACAAGCUUGCAUAGGCACAACAUCACAUUCAACAAUAUCUUUGUAGGAUCCGAUGGAAAAAUUAAUUCUCACAAGUCUAGUUACCUUUGCCUUACCACUGUUGUUCAGCCAUUGGAUGUAGUAGGGAUGCGGGUGUGGUUUGGUGUUGAGCGCAAGCUUCUGCACCAUAUCGCUGCUUGCCAAGUUGUUGCAGCUACCUCCAUCAAUGAUCAUGUGACAAGAACGCUCUUUGAUGACACACUUUGUUUGGAAUAAAAUGUGUCGCUGAUUUUGUUCCGCCAUCUCCAUUUGUGCACUAAGCACUCGCUGCACGAUCAAGCUCUCAUAGUGGUCCGCUUCACCUGCAUUAAUAUGUUCUUCUAUUUGAUCUUCAUUACCUGCAUGGUCAAUCGCAAGCAGUGCAAGUGUAUCCUCAUCAAAAUCACUAGCAGAUGAGUACUCACCAUCAUCCCUGACAAUCAUAACUCGCUUGUUUGGGCAGUCACGCAUCAUGUGCCCAUAUCCCUUGCACCGAUGACAUUGUAUGUUGCUUGUUCUACCCGUCGAUACCACGGAUGAAGUACUCGCAGCAGGCUUUUGCAUCGUCUUCGCAACUGAAUUGGUGGGGGCAGCUCGAGCCUUGUCACUAGAUGAUGGAGUAGAAAUACGUGUAGAUGGAGUUGAAGCCAUGUGUUGCUGCCAUGAAUUAGCCUUCCCUGCAGAAAUAUUACUCCUUGCGCUAGCACGUCGUCCCUGCACUUCCCUUUCAGCUUUACAAGCAAGAUGAAACAAACGGGUUACAUUAUUGUAUUCUUUGUAAGCGAGGAUGUCCUGAAUUUCCCGAUUUAACCCACCCAAAAAUCUAGCCAUAGCCGGUUCCUCAUCCUCCUCUAGGUUACAACGCAACAUACCCGUUUGUAAUUCCUGAUAAUAUUCUUCUACACUUUUAGCACCUUGUCUUAACUGCUGCAGCUUAUUUAUCAUAUCACACGCAUAGUAAGAUGGAACAAAUCUAGCUCUCAUGGCCCUUUUCAGCGCAUCCCAAGUUCUAGGUAAGUUAUUAGGAUUUUUCUUUCCAUAUUCUAUCCACCAAACAGAAGCAAAAUCUGUAAACUCACUAGUAGCAGCCCUAACACGUGUAGUCUCAGGAAAUUCAUGACAUGCAAACUUUUGAUCAACAGCAAUCUCCCAAGUGAUGUAAGCAUCAGGGUCAUAUUUACCAUCAAAAGGGGGUAUCUUAAAUUUAAUCUUACUGAAAGCAUCAUCAUUAUUGUGUACCUCGCGUCGGCGGUUGCCACCCAUACCUCUACGGUUGUGACGAAGGCGACGUCGAUCACGAGUGUCUUGAUCAUCAUGUUCAGUAUCACCAGUGUAGUCAUCUUCAUGACUACCGUGCUCUCGAUCUCCCUCCUUUUCUUCUUUAUGCUUCUCUUUAUCUUUGGUGUGGAAAGCAGCAAAUCGCCUUAGGAGAGCAGCAAGGCUUUUGUCCACACUAGCAACGGAUUCCUCCAAACUUGUGAGCUUGUUGUUUGUGGCAAUCUGCGUAGCCUCCAACUGCCCCAGCUUUUCAUUCGUCACCUGCAAGUCGUUAUCAAGUCCCUCUGUGUGCAGCUUCACUUUCCUUUCAAAAUGUUGUAUGAUGCCCUUAGUGCGAGGUGUAAGUGGUGUUUCGUUACCAUCAUCUGCCCCUGGCAUGGUUCAAAGACAAAGACAACAAAAAGGCAAGUGAAGAAAUAAAAGCCCUACAACUACUAGGAUGUAGCUACAGCAAGUCGCUCACACUCAACCUGUAACACAAGUUCUUACCAAUUCUUACCUUGCUUGACAGGAGGGGUCGUCUGCCAACAAGUGUACAGCAAUGGACGAAGUGUAUCGGUGCUGCAGCACAAGACCUGUCAAGCUGUAGAGUAUGUGGAGCUAUAGGUGGGCUGAAACAAGGAACGAACUAGCACCACGUUAGUUAUAAAAGCAAGCUGAAUAAGCGUUCGACGAUGGUACUGUGCUGGUCCUAGCCUAGACCGUGCUAGAGACGCGAGCCUGGACACAAAGGAAAACCACAGCACACCCCCGAAAACAAGGUGGAAGAAACCUAAAAUCAAUAUGAAAAACAGCCCCCUUUUUUUUCUUUUGAAUCUUUUCUCUUUUAUUUUUUUUUAUUUUUUUUUCUUUUUUUUUGGGCAACCUCGAAAACUGAUUAUAUGAACAAAGGAAUACAAAAGAGCAAUUCGCUACACACACACACUCUCUCUCUCUCUCUCUAGAGUAAGGCCGAACAAGUAUGGAGUUAUCUUUCUUUUUGGAUCAUAGUUCAAUUCGGACUUCACAACAGAUUCGACAAAGAGAAGAUAUGGUAAUACUCGGCUGUGUAUAGAUGGUGACAAGAACUCGAAACUCUAAAGGACUAGACACUAAGACCAGCAACUCGACACAAACCGAAGCAACGCAAAUUCAACAAGCCCUAACUAAAACGGUACUAGCCAAGGCACAAAGGUUUAAUAGGAUUAUGGAAAAACUAAUCUACUAUAUUUUUUUUGGCUUUUCUGGACUAUAGGAAAUUAAUUAAAAACAGCAAAGGAUUAGAAGUCUCUCACCGAAGAACCUUGCUCUGAUUACCAACUGAUGCGAACCGGCUAGGGUUUUUGGCCUGAUCUUUCGAUGAGAGGCGCUGGAUAACUCGAUUAGUGGAUGGAGAUGACAUUCACGGCCCGACUACAGCCCUCAAGACCGCGCCUUAGCAACCGAUACACCACGUCCAACAGCCGUCACGAUCUUGUGGAGCGCGACAACCAGCCCCUAGGGCUCCCGUCCUGCAAGCAAUCGAAGAACUAGCAAGAACGAGGAAACAAGCACUGAAUUUGCAAGAUGAAUUGAAGGUUUCAAACUGAAUCUGAAUCAACAAUGGGGUUCCGAAGACAAGGAGACGGGCGGCUGAUCCUGCACGCGCGCCUACAAGCAAGUAGCGAAGGCUAAACUUGAUCUAAACAAAACCCAGUUGUUCAUGGCGGCUCUAGAUGUAAAUAAAUAGAGGGGAGGACGACCAAAGGGGUGCUAGAGUCGUCCUCCAACCCUAGGACGCGUCCCUAAUGGACUCAACUUGAUACAUGGGCCAUUGGUCCAAAAUAGGGUGACGCAGCACCAAAACAGAAAAAGGUGUCGGCACGAAAACAAGG
rnacentral:lncRNA from 1 species